CGAUGUUAUAUUUUGUGCCAGUCUCCACAAAAUUCUCCCAAAUUUUGGGGAUUUUAUUCUCCUCUGCUGCCAGCAACACUACUGGCCAUUCAGUUCGGAACCCCCGCAUUAGAAGGUAUAUAAACAAUGUUCGUGUGCCGCUACUGAUAUAUUAUUCCCAGCGGUACUCUCUAAAAGACACGUAACUCCAUGAACAUAUUUUUUGUGCUAUUUUGGUAAACUCAGUAAACAAAUAAUACAAUGAAUUUUAUAUCUAACCUCCUGGAUUCGACUCCUGUAGUAAGAGCUGCGAAGGCAGCAAUUCACUACACCGUCGGGGACAUUGAAGGAGGGAACAAGGCGAUCGCCAAGUCCACCGAAUUAGUCCCUGGCGUGCGCCACGGCGGCGGGGCCCCCGGCGGCUGCUUCCCGGGCGCGGGCAACCCGACAGGAACUGGAAGCUCCGGAACUAUGGUGUUGGCAAUUAAAAAGUAAAAUGGAACUUUGUUGGAGUGCCUAAGUUUUACCUAUUUUAUUGAGAAAAAUAAAUGAAUUGGGUCUAA